rnacentral:rRNA from 1 species
AUUCCAGCUCCAAUAGUGUAUAUUAAAGUUGUUGCAGUUAAAAAGCUCGUAGUUGGAUUUCUGGCGGGAGCGAUCGGUCCUUCACUCAGUGUUGGAACCUGAUUGUCUCCUGCCAUCCAUGGAGAAAACUUAUCUGGCAUUAAGUUGUCGGGUAGGCAAUCUCCAUCUUUUACUGUGAAAAAAUUAGAGUGUUCAAAGCAGGCUUAUGCCGUUGAAUAUAUUAGCAUGGAAUAAUGAGAUAGGACCUUGGUACUAUUUUGUUGGUUUGCGCACCGAGGUAAUGAUUAAUAGGGACAGUUGGGGGUAUUCGUAUUCCAUUGUCAGAGGUGAAAUUCUUGGAUUUUUGGAAGACGAACUACUGCGAAAGCAUUUACCAAGGAUGUUUUCAUUA